ACUCGCUAAAUCUCGCGAAACUUCAGAAUAAGCAUGGCGGACGAUAUGCAGGAAGAAGAAAUUGCGACGUUGAACAAACAUUCGUGCUGUUGCCACAAAUCUACAAGCUGAUCCUCCAUCUCUGCUGUCCACAUUAAUUUCACCUUGUGCUGCGCCAUGACUGUGUUUCUUAUGCUUCCGUCUUCAAUCAUCUUGCUUUCUGAUUGGAUAUUGUUUCGUUUCACGUGAUAAUCUCCAGAACGUGCGCGUGUUUGUCCUCGGGGAUCCCCCCACACAUCAGGAUUUCUGAUCGAUCGAGGCGCCUCCGACGUUCUUUCGAUCAGUGGUGACGUUUCCCCAUCACAGAGGCUAAGCUACAGUGUUGGAAUCCAGACCUCUCCUUGCUGGUGGACAAGAAGUGCUUCUGUUUGGCGACAUUCACCUCCAGAACGCUGGGCUACAACAGACCCAGUACAGACUCAGACAGUGAGAAAGAAUAGAAGAAACGCAUGCUUAUUGGAAAUACUCACACACGUACACAUAUGAGACCAAAAUAUAAUAUAUAAGAGCACAGGCAUGAGUUAGCAUGGCUCUUGGGUUGUAAACCUCUGUUAACAUAUGUGAUUUCUGUUAAAUCCAAGUUCCGAUCUAUCAUGACUGUUUUAUGAAUGUCUCUGUCUGUUGACUUUUAUUGUUGCCAUUUUCCUUUCUUCUUAAUAAACAUGUAAUUUGCACCAUGA